AUGUAAUAAGUUUGUUAGGUGCUUCUGACUUACUGAAGAUAUAACAUUAAGAUAUUAGGUUAACCUGAAUGAUUCAAAUUAUAUAGAGGAAUGAAUGCUUAAUUGUCAGUGCAGAAGGUAUGAGUUGUACAAUGGUUCUGUUGAUUAUAAUUUUCUUGUGCUUUCUUAAUGUUUAAUCAAGUUUUUCACAUUAAUCAAGUUCAGCAAUACAAAAAUACGCUGGAUUGUCAUUGUGACUAAACUUUAAUUG
rnacentral:misc_RNA from 1 species